rnacentral:rRNA from 1 species
UACGAAGGGGGCUAGCGUUGCUCGGCAUCACUGGGCGUAAAGCGCACGUAGGCGGACUCUUAAGUCAGGGGUGAAAUCCUGGAGCUCAACUCCAGAACUGCCUUUGAUACUGGGAGUCUUGAGUUCGGGAGAGGUGAGUGGAACUGCGAGUGUAGAGGUGAAAUUCGUAGAUAUUCGCAAGAACACCAGUGGCGAAGGCGGCUCACUGGCCCGGUACUGACGCUGAGGUGCGAAAGCGUGGGGAGCAAACAGG